rnacentral:rRNA from 1 species
UACGUAGGGGGCAAGCGUUGUCCGGAAUUAUUGGGCGUAAAGAGCGUGUAGGCGGCCAGACAGGUCCGUUGUGAAAACUGGAGGCUCAACCUCCAGACGUCGAUGGAAACCGUCUGGCUAGAGUCCGGAAGAGGAGAGUGGAAUUCCUGGUGUAGCGGUGAAAUGCGCAGAUAUCAGGAAGAACACCCGUGGCGAAAGCGGCUCUCUGGGACGGUACUGACGCUGAGACGCGAAAGCGUGGGGAGCGAACAGG